UACGUAGGGGGCAAGCGUUGUCCGGAUUUAUUGGGCGUAAAGAGCGUGUAGGCGGCCAAACAGGUCAGCUGUGAAAACUCGAGGCUCACCUCGAGACGUCGGUUGAAACCGUUUGGCUAGAGUCCGGAAGAGGAGAGUGGAAUUCCCGGUGUAGCGGUGAAAUGCGCAGAUAUCGGGAAGAACACCCGUGGCGAAGGCGGCUCUCUGGGACGGUACUGACGCUGAGACGCGAAAGCGUGGGGAGCGAACAGG
rnacentral:rRNA from 1 species